UGCUUUCUUAUUUAUCAUCUAGAAAGGCUUAACUGUAUCUAGGGAAUGAAAGUUUUCGCUUUCAAAAUGUUCAUACAUGAAAAUAAUAAGGAAAUGAGUAUUUUCAGCCAUACUUGCUUUGGUCCAUUGUGCACGGUCAGUAACACGUGAUGGUAAGAUUCAAUAUAAAAUGCAAAACAAUAGCUUUGUUCUAUGGAGUUUCCAAAGGUUCAUUCCACUCCACUUCAAAACUUUGUUUUGAGGGUAGCCUGCGAACCUACUUUGACGGUUUUUUCCGUGUUCACCGGUUUUGCCUGCCAGCGUAAAAAUCAACURCUAAAUCAGUUCCUAUUCGAUCUGGCGUCAAAGGCUUAAACAAGGCAGAGCCUUUGGCUCGGGAGAUCUAAUCCGUGCAGUCAUCCCCUGCAAUCGACGUAACGAUUGACCGCCAUUUAACCAAGAAAAUGUUUGCUAUUGACCUCUAUUGGGUACUAGAAGUACAGAGUUUUGACAAGAAAUGUUUCUAGUAAAAAAAACUUGCGACGCAACCGAUUGAUGUCCAUGGUAACAAGAUAACAGAUAGCAACCCUAGUUACCACCCAGACCGGACGCCAAAGUGAACACCUUCACAGCUUGAACAAAAAUACUGCCGUCAAUAAGGUCGAUUCAAUGGAGAAUACAAGUAGAAUGAUCUUAGAACCGGAAAAGAUGGGUGGCUAGCUUAGUUGGAAAUAGUCUCGCGUGUCAGUUGAUAAGAGAUCUUUCCUCUGAAUUCGGAUUACAUUUAGAUUGAGUUCAGGUUUUCGUCCACCCACUUGUAAAAAGGUGCAUGAGCUCUGUCAAAACAUAGUUAAUAGAUAAAACAAA